CCGGAAUUUAUUUCUCAAGCAACCUCUUGACAAUAAAUACAAAUUUGCUGUGAGUUCAAUAACUACAUGUGCACUGACCUUGCACACCUAUAUUAUUACACAUUUCAUUAGUCUAACAAUUACCAUUAAUUUUAUAUAUUAUCUGAUUACUUUUGUCAAUUCGUGCAUUAAAUAAAGAAACUUCAAGUUUCACUGUCGCCUUGAUGCUGCCCACGCAUAGCGCCUUUCUACGCCAUGGUUCCUCGCUUUAUAUAAUCACAGAUUCCGUAAAAUUCACUUUUUAAGUGAACCAGCCAAUCAAAUUGCUUGCUAUUGAAUCAUCGUAAAUCAUCGUAACGAACUUCGAAAGAAACUUCGGAACUUUACAACGAACAUUCCGAAUUUACAAGUAAACAUUGGAAGUCAGUUUUGAAAAGCAAAUUGAAAUCGAGAGUAAUAUAUUUCUUUGUUUCCUAUAAAGUCUUUGUUUCCAAUGACGUAAUUUUGGGAUUUCAGUUGACGGGCAGGUAUAACAAAAAACCGGCUAUUUUAAUGUAUUGAUCGAGUUUAGAGACAGUUCAAGACUCAAAAGAUGCGCAAGUCAGUUUUGGCUUCCUACAACAAGUUGUUUGAUUGCCCGUCAUUUGGAUGAAACGUCACGUGAUUGCAAACAAAGAAUAGUACAAAAAUUGGCCAAGAGACAGCUGACGUAGCAAAUAAAUGCCUGUACGCAGGCUUUGACGUGGCAUAUUUGAUGUGUUUUUGUAAAACAUGAUGGCAUUAAUGACGUCGACUCAAUCGGAAUACUACGAUACGAUAGGAUUUGAACAUACAUAAUUUUCAAAGUCGUGAUGGACCGUGUCGUAGGCUAAGAAUAUAUUACUGUAUAUCCAGAGAGGAUUAAUCAUAGGCAUAGCCCCUCCGUUAAAUCAUGGCCGAUAAUCGUCUUAUUUCGCUCUUCGAUUCAUUUUCGUACAACUCUCUUGUAAAAUUUUGCAAAUGGUAAAGUCUGAUGAGUAAUGUUCACGAUUCUAGCUACUUUUCAUUUUCAAUGUUUUACAUUAAUAAUUCGUAUCUUCUUUGUCUUUUGAUAUAUUAUGUCCAGUUAUUCUAUAUAGCUCGUGGUUAAUCUUUGAUGCAUUCCAUUGUAUCAUGUUCGUUUAAUCUGCAUAACCUUCUCGUAUCGUGUUCGGUUAAUCAUCGCAGUCCUCUCGGACUGAGCCGUAUGCCGUUCACCUGUCUCGCUCCAUCUUUUACCAAGUCACUUCAAAACCUGCACACCUUAAAUAUGUAUUUUCUUGGAGUGCCUCGCAAGGUGACUUGGGUUGUUAAAAGCUCGCCCGCACGCCUGACAUUUGUAAGGCUUCUCGCCCGUGUGUGUGAACAUAUGUCGGCGCAGGUUGCCCGAGAUUGAGAAGCGUUUGUCACAAAGUUCACACGCGUAAGGUCGUUCCCCCGAGUGGGUUCGGAGGUGUAUCACCAGGGCACUUGGUUUCUUGAACCGCAUACCACAUUCUUUGCACAUGUGACGUUUGUUUUCUACAAAAGAAAAGGAGCUAUUUAUUAUUAAAAUUAACUACAUGAUAAACUAAAUAUUAUAUUUUAUUUCGAUUAAAAUUAUUGAGACUGAAAUAACCGAAAUGGAUUUUUGUCCCACCUAUGGGCAAUUCCAGCUUUUAAAUUAUGCGCGCAGGGGAUGACGGGAAGUAAGGUAUCAUAUUGUUGAUUAUGCUGAAAAUUUUCAAUAAAAACUGCCGAAACAACUGAAAUAUUUCAAUAUUUACAAGUAUAAGCUGUCACUCCGUGUUUACACGGCCGCCAUUUUUAUUUUUUUCAGCAUAAUCAGCAAUAUGAUACCUUACUUCCCAUC